rnacentral:tRNA from 3 species
GCGGGAGUGGCUCAGUGGUAGAGCGCUGCCUUGCCAAGGCAGAUAUCGCGGGUCCGAAUCCCGUCUCCCGCUCCA